rnacentral:rRNA from 1 species
GAUGAACGCUGGCGGCGUGCCUAAUACAUGCAAGUCGAGCGAACGGACGAGAAGCUUGCUUCUCUGAUGUUAGCGGCGGACGGGUGAGUAACACGUGGAUAACCUACCUAUAAGACUGGGAUAACUUCGGGAAACCGGAGCUAAUACCGGAUAAUAUUUUGAACCGCAUGGUUCAAAAGUGAAAGACGGUCUUGCUGUCACUUAUAGAUGGAUCCGCGCUGCAUUAGCUAGUUGGUAAGGUAACGGCUUACCAAGGCAACGAUGCAUAGCCGACCUGAGAGGGUGAUCGGCCACACUGGAACUGAGACACGGUCGAGACUCCUACGGGAGGCAGCGGUAGGGAAUCUUCCGCAAUGGGCGAAAGCCUGACGGAGCAACGCCGCGUGAGUGAUGAAGGUCUUCGGAUCGUAAAACUCUGUUAUUAGGGAAGAACAUAUGUGUAAGUAACUGUGCACAUCUUGACGGUACCUAAUCAGAAAGCCACGGCUAACUACGUG